AACGGCGAGUGAAGCGGCAACAGCUCAAAUUUGAAAUCUGGCCCUCGGGUCCGAGUUGUAAUUUGCAGAGGAUGCUUUUGGCGCGGUGCCUUCCGAGUUCCCUGGAACGGGACGCCUUAGAGGGUGAGAGCCCCGUACGGUUGGACACCAAGCCUCUGUAAAGCUCCUUCGACGAGUCGAGUAGUUUGGGAAUGCUGCUCUAAAUGGGAGGUAAAUUUCUUCUAAAGCUAAAUAUUGGCCAGAGACCGAUAGCGCACAAGUAGAGUGAUCGAAAGAUGAAAAGCACUUUGAAAAGAGGGUUAAACAGCACGUGAAAUUGUUGAAAGGGAAGCGUUUGCGACCAGACCUCUUCCCGGCGGAUCAUCCGGUGGUUUCCACCGGUGCACUUCGCCGGGUCGAGGCCAGCAUCGGUCUCUGCAGGGGGAUAAAAGCCCUGGGAACGUAGCUCCUCCGGGAGUGUUAUAGCCCUUCGCAUAAUACCCUUGCGGGGACCGAGGACCGCGCCUUCGGGCAAGGAUGCUGGCGUAAUGGUCGUCAACGACCCGUCUUGAAACACGGACCAAGGAGUCGAACAUUUGUGCGAGUGUUUGGGUGUCAAACCCUCACGCGUAAUGAAAGUGAACGGAGGUGAGAGCCCUUACGGGCGCAUCAUCGACCGAUCCUGAUGUCUUCGGAUGGAUUUGAGUAAGAGCAUAACUGUUCGGACCCGAAAGAUGGUGAACUAUGCGUGGAUAGGGUGAAGCCAGAGGAAACUCUGGUGGAGGCUCGCAGCGGUUCUGACGUGCAAAUCGAUCGUCAAAU
rnacentral:rRNA from 1 species